rnacentral:rRNA from 1 species
AAAAAAAAGAGUUUGAUCCUGGCUCAGAAUGAACGCUGGCGGCGUGCUUUACACAUGCAAGUCGAGCGAGGCGUGUAGCAAUACACAGUUGAGCGGCGAACGGGUGAGUAACGCGUGGAUACCUGCCCUUCAGUGGGGAACAACCGGGGGAAACUCCGGCUAAUACCGCAUACGACCGAGAGGUGAAAGGGGCCUGCAAGGGUCUCGCUGAUGGAGGGGUCCGCGUCCGAUUAGCUAGUUGGCGGGGUAAUGGCCCACCAAGGCUACGAUCGGUAGCCGGCCUGAGAGGGUGAUCGGCCACACUGGAACUGAGACACGGUCCAGACUCCUACGGGAGGCAGCAGUGGGGAAUUUUGCGCAAUGGGCGAAAGCCUGACGCAGCAACGCCGCGUGGAGGAUGAAGGUCUUUGGAUUGUAAACUCCUGUCAGCAGGGAAAAAGCGACUUGACCUCAUACGUCAGGGAGUUGAUUGUACCUGCAGAGGAAGCCCCGGCUAACUCUGUGCCAGCAGCAGCCGCCGUAA